rnacentral:rRNA from 1 species
UUCGGUCCAUAUCCGGUGUAGGCGGUAGAGCGUUGAGAGGAGCCUUCCAUAGUACGAGAGGACCUAGAAGGACGCACCACUAGUAUACCAGUUCUCGUUCCAACGGGAAACGCUGGGUAGCCAAGUGCGGAGCGGAUAACUGCUGAAAGCAUCUAAGUAGGAAGCCCACCUCAAGAUGAGCGCUCUCUCGAGGUCUUGGCAAGA